GACGAACGCUGGCGGCGUGCUUAACACAUGCAAGUCGAACGGAAAGGCCUGUCCUUCCUUGUGUUGGACGGGUACUCGAGUGGCGAACGGGUGAGUAACACGUGAGUGAUCUGCCCCCAACUUGGGUAUAAGCCUGGGAAACUGGGUCUAAUUCCCGAUAGGACUGCAGGGUGGUGCCUGUGGUGGAAAACGAUUUUCUAGUGGUUGGGGAUGAGCUCGCGGCCUAUCAGCUUGUUGGUGGGGUAAUGGCCUACCAAGGCGGCGACGGGUAGCCGGCCUGAGAGGGUGGACGGCCACAUUGGGACUGAGAUACGGCCCAGACUCCUACGGGAGGCAGCAGUGGGGAAUAUUGGACAAUGGGCGGAAGGCUGAUGCAGCGACGCCGCGUGGGGGAUGACGGCCUUCGGGUUGUAAACUCCUUUCGACCGCGAGGAAGCCGCCUGGUUGGAAGGGUGGUGACGGUAGUGGUAGAAGAAGCACCGGCUAACUACGUG
rnacentral:rRNA from 1 species